rnacentral:lncRNA from 1 species
CUCGGGGCUGCUUGGAGUGUGUGUGAAAAUGGGCUUGCUUCUGGAUUUUGUGCCAUUUGCUCCCCUGCUUCCUCACAUCUCUGGAGUGCUGGGCUGGCUAAAUGUGGAUGAAGAGCCCAGGGGGGAAGGCUCCGAACCAGCCGAGUCCCUCAGCCUGCGAUGGAGGUGGCACCCACAGAGAGACUGG